rnacentral:rRNA from 1 species
GAUGAACGCUGGCGGCGUGCCUAAUACAUGCAAGUCGAGCGAAUGGAUUAAGAGCUUGCUCUUAUGAAGUUAGCGGCGGACGGGUGAGUAACACGUGGGUAACCUGCCCAUAAGACUGGGAUAACUCCGGGAAACCGGGGCUAAUACCGGAUAACAUUUUGAACCGCAUGGUUCGAAAUUGAAAGGCGGCUUCGGCUGUCACUUAUGGAUGGACCCGCGUCGCAUUAGCUAGUUGGUGAGGUAACGGCUCACCAAGGCAACGAUGCGUAGGCGACCUGGGACGGUGAUCGGCCACACUGGGACUGAGACACGGCCCAGACUCCUACGGGAGGCAGCAGUAGGGAAUCUUCCGCAAUGGACGAAAGUCUGACGGAGCAACGCCGCGUGAGUGAUGAAGGCUUUCGGGUCGUAAAACUCUGUUGUUAGGGAAGAACAAGUGCUAGUUGAAUAAGCUGGCACCUUGACGGUACCUAACCAGAAAGCCACGGCUAACUACGUGCCAGCCGCCGCGGUAA